AAAACACACCAACAACAACACGAAUAUACAAUAAUACAAGUAACAACGAGAACAAUAUUAACACCAAUGCUAAACCACCGGAUAAUGGAAAAUCCGAUGGUCUUCAGCCUUCUCCUCCUUUUUUUUUUUUAUCAGUCUUGAAAUUCCUCCAUCAACUCUACAGCUUUUCCUGAUCAAAUCAUCCCCCAAAAUACUCCACCACAGUUGUUGCUCCUGAAAAGGUGAAGAACAAGAAGGACCAUUGAAUUUGGAAUUGUUUUCCCCUUAAUCUAAUGGGUCCAAAAGUAAGAUCUCAAAAUCAUCUCUUUUUCCUUCUACAUCAACCUAAAAAGGUUAAAUAAAACCAGUCUUUCUCUUCCACAAUUUUUUUCUCUGUGAUUGGGGCUUUUCCAAAAAAUUUUGAAUUCUUGAUGCCCGAGAACUGUUGCAGCCCAAAAAUUGCCUAUAAAAGGGGUCUUGUUCACCCCUUUAGGAUAUGGUUCAAGUGGUAAAAAAAUGGGAAAUUUCUUGAGCCACUAUACUCUUUCACUCACUAAGUUUGUUUUAUUUUAUAAUUUUUUAUCACACUUUCCUUACUCUCGUUGCUUUUUUUCGUUCUCAUUCAAAGUUUGAGUUUGAGUUUGAAUCUCCAACGAAGAAGUCCUAGUUCGCUGCCCCACACAAGUCUACACGGUGGUUACUUUACACCGAGCAGACACCUUCUGCUUGGUUGAAUUUUGCUUUAUGCGGUCUGGUUGGAAUUGUAAUUGCCUAUGUCUGUCUGGAUCUCAAAGUACUACACUGAUGACAAAUAAGAGGCCAUGCGAACCUUAUCCUUGAUAGAUCUAUUGGCCAUGGAACGAACAUAAUUGGGGGUGUUAGUUUGGGUCUGGAAUCCAUAUCUCUAAUUUUCCUUGCCAUAAGCUUGGCUGAUUAUUUCUGCUUUCUGGCUUUGGUCGCACUUUAAGAUUGACAGAUGAAGCUGGAAAUAUUAUUACUCAGUACAACUGAAUAUGUUCUCACCAUGGAUAUGUUAGGUCCAAUAGUUGAUAAUGUUGGUGGAAUUGUUGAGAUGAGCCAACAGGUGAUGCUAAUGAUUUGGAGGAAACGCAUGAGGUUGUCACUUCUUUUGUAGUAAUCUUUUGUUAGCUCGGUUAGUUCAGUAAUCUUUUCAUGUACAAACUAAAAGUGUUCGUGAGAGAACUGAUGUUCUUGAUGCCAUUGGAGACAUUACCAAAGCCACAACCAAGGGAUUUGCAACUGGAUUUGCAGCUCUUGCAUCAUUUCUUGCUCUUGCAUUAUUUUUUUUAUUCAGUGCCUAUACGGAUGAGGUAGCUGAAUGCUCAAGAAUCCUUCAAGCAGGUUGACAUAGCGAUACUUGAAGUAUUUGUUGGUGUAUUACUGGGAUCUAUGCUCAUCUUUCUGUUCAGUGCUUAGGCCUGUGCUGCUGUUGGUCGAACUACUCAGGAAAUAGUUAAUGAGGACUACAAGGAGAAGCCAAAUUACAGUCGAUGUGUGUCCAUUAUUGUGUCUGCGUCUUUGAGGGUGAUAAUUAAGCCUGGAGCCCUAGCUAUCAUAUCCCCUACAAUUGGUGGCGACUGAUCCAAGUACUAGUUACCGCUGCUGAUUUGACAUUCGUGUAGAGUUGAUUUUCGAGAUUGGGUGAGCUGUUGGAAUUAGAGCUAAAAUUUUUCCUUCUAUUUAUCUUUGUAUAGUCUAUCAUCUUCAAGACGAAUUGUAUUUGACUAUUCAGUACUCAUAGUUCUUUUAUAGUAGCUCUUGUACCAACAUUACUGAGUCAUGGGAUGCUUGUUGGUUUUCUAUCAAUCUAUUA